GACGAACGCUGGCGGCGUGCCUAACACAUGCAAGUCGAACGGAAAGGCCCUGAUUUUGUGGGGUGCUCGAGUGGCGAACGGGGGAGUAACACGCGUGUAACCUGCCCUUGACUGUGGGAUAACACCACGAAACUGGGGCUAAUACCGGAUAGGAGCUCCUGCUGCGCGGUGGGGGAUGGAAAGUUUCGGCGGUGGGGGAUGGACUCGCGGGUUAUGCGCUUGUUGGGGGGGUAGUGGCUUACCAAGGCUUCGACGGGUAGCCGGCAUGAGAGGGUGACCGGCGACAUUGCGACUGAGAGACGGCGCAGACGCCUACGGGAGGCAGCAGUGGGGAAUCUUGCACAAUGGCCGGAAGUCUGAUGCAGCAACGCCGCGUGCGGGAUGACGGCCUACGGGUUGUAAACCGCUUUCGCCUGUGACGAAGCGUGCGUGACGGUAAUGGGUAAAGAAGCACCGGCUAACUACGUG
rnacentral:rRNA from 1 species